UGGAGGACUGAGAAGGUUGAGCAGCUUGUGUUGUGCUGCUAUAACUGGUUAUAACCUCCAAGAAUAACAAACAAACCACUAAAAUGACUGACUCUGUCAUAAGCAGAGCUGGUGUGUCUGUGUGUUUGUGAACAGAAC